rnacentral:rRNA from 1 species
GGGAUUGCCCCAGUAACGGCGAGUGAAGCGGCAACAGCUCAAAUUUGAAAUCUGGCCCUUCUGGGGUCCGAGUUGUAAUUUGUAGAGAGUGCUUCGGGGGAGACCGCGGUCUAAGUCCAUUGGAACAUGGCGUCCCAGAGGGUGAGAAUCCCGUAUGUGACCGCGGCUCGAGCCCAUGUGAAGCCUCUUCGACGAGUCGAGUUGUUUGGGAAUGCAGCUCUAAAUGGGUGGUAAAUUUCAUCUAAAGCUAAAUACUGGCUGGAGACCGAUAGCGCACAAGUAGAGUGAUCGAAAGAUGAAAAGCACUUUGGAAAGAGAGUUAAACAGUACGUGAAAUUGUUGAAAGGGAAGCGCUUGCAACCAGACCUGCCCGUAGGCGAUCACCCGCUGUUCUCAGCGGUGCACUCGUUCUGCGAUCAGGCCAGCAUCGGUUCGGGCGGUCGGAUAAAGGCCUUGGGAAUGUAGCUUCCCUUCGGGGGAGUCUUAUAGCCCUCGGUGCAAUGCGGCCAGCCGGGACCGAGGACCGCGCUUCGGCUAGGAUGCUGGCGUAAUGGUUGUAAGCGACCCGUCUUGAAACACGGACCAAGGAGUCUACCAUCUAUGCGAGUGUUUGGGUGUCAAACCCAUGCGCGAAAUGAAAGUGAACGGAGGUGAGAACCCUUAAGGGCGCAUCAUCGACCGAUCCAGAUGUCUUCGGAUGGAUUUGAGUAUGAGCAUGGCUGGUGGGACCCGAAAGAUGGUGAACUAUGCCUGAAUAGGGUGAAGCCAGAGGAAACUCUGGUGGAGGCUCGCAGCGGUUCUGACGUGCAAAUCGAUCGUCAAAUUUGGGUAUAGGGGCGAAAGACUAAUC